rnacentral:lncRNA from 1 species
GAGGUUUUGAUAUAGGUCCGAUCUCAGUGUGAUAUUAAUUUUAAAUUCAACCUCACGAUCUGGAGGCAGUCUAGGUAGCUCAUCUGAAAAAAUAUCAAGAAAUUCUUUGAUAAUUGGAAUAUCAUCCAACUCUGUCUUCUCCUAGGCCAAAAAUGUCUUGCAUCCUUUCCUUAAAGCCUUCCUUGCAUUCAUAACUGAGAUGAUACUCGAAGA